UACGGAGGGGGCUAGCGUUGUUCGGAAUUACUGGGCGUAAAGAGCUUGUAGGUGGUUUGUCGCGUCUGCUGUGAAAAUCCGAGGCUCAACCUCGGACUUGCAGUGGGUACGGGCAGACUAGAGUGUGGUAGGGGAGACUGGAAUUCCUGGUGUAGCGGUGGAAUGCGCAGAUAUCAGGAGGAACACCGAUGGCGAAGGCAGGUCUCUGGGCAGUAACUGAC
rnacentral:rRNA from 1 species